GACGAACGCUGGCGGCGUGCUUAACACAUGCAAGUCGAACGAAGAGCGAUGGAAGCUUGCUUCUAUCAAUCUUAGUGGCGAACGGGUGAGUAACGCGUAAUCAACCUGCCCUUCAGAGGGGGACAACAGUUGGAAACGACUGCUAAUACCGCAUACGAUCUAAUCUCGGCAUCGAGGAUAGAUGAAAGGUGGCCUCUACAUGUAAGCUAUCACUGAAGGAGGGGAUUGCGUCUGAUUAGCUAGUUGGAGGGGUAACGGCCCACCAAGGCGAUGAUCAGUAGCCGGUCUGAGAGGAUGAACGGCCACAUUGGGACUGAGACACGGCCCAGACUCCUACGGGAGGCAGCAGUGGGGAAUCUUCCGCAAUGGACGAAAGUCUGACGGAGCAACGCCGCGUGAGUGAUGACGGCCUUCGGGUUGUAAAGCUCUGUUAAUCGGGACGAAAGGCCUUCUUGCGAAUAGUGA
rnacentral:rRNA from 1 species